AACGUAGGUGGCGAGCGUUAUCCGGAUUUACUGGGCGUAAAGCGUGUGCAGGUGGCCUGUUAAGUGGUGUAUGAAAUCGCCCGGCUCAACCGGGCGGGGUUAUGCCAGACUGGCAGGCUAGAGGGUGGGAGAGGGAUGUGGAAUUCCGGGUGUAGUGGUGAAAUGCGUAGAGAUCCGGAGGAACCCCAGAGGCGAAGGCGACUCGCUGGACAAGUAUUGACGCUGAGGUGCGAAAGCGUGGGGAGCAAACAGG
rnacentral:rRNA from 1 species